AACGACGGCCAGUGAAUUCGAGCUCGGUACCGUAAUACGACUCACUAUAGGGCGACAUAUGAUCGAUGAUAUCCCAUGGGCGGCCGCCUGCAGACCAGGUCUGGUUACCUUGUUACGACUUCACCCCAGUCAUCGGCCACACCGUGGUAAGCGUCCUCCUUGCGGUUAGACUACCUACUUCUGGUGCAACAAACUCCCAUGGUGUGACGGGCGGUGUGUACAAGGCCCGGGAACGUAUUCACCGCGGCAUUCUGAUCCGCGAUUACUAGCGAUUCCGACUUCAUGGAGUCGAGUUGCAGACUCCAAUCCGGACCACGAUCGGCUUUUUGAGAUUAGCAUCCUAUCGCUAGGUAGCAACCCUUUGUACCGACCAUUGUAGCACGUGUGUAGCCCUGGUCGUAAGGGCCAUGAUGACUUGACGUCGUCCCCGCCUUCCUCCAGUUUGUCACUGGCAGUAUCCUUAAAGUUCCCGGCUUAACCCGCUGGCAAAUAAGGAAAAGGGUUGCGCUCGUUGCGGGACUUAACCCAACAUCUCACGACACGAGCUGACGACAGGCAUGCAGCACCUGUAUGUAAGCUCCCGAAGGCACCAAUCCAUCUCUGGAAAGUUCUUACUAUGUCAAGACCAGGUAAGGUUCUUCGCGUUGCAUCGAAUUAAACCACAUGCUCCACCGCUUGUGCGGGCCCCCGUCAAUUCAUUUGAGUUUUAGUCUUGCGACCGUACUCCCCAGGCGGUCUACUUAUCGCGUUAGCUGCGCCACUAAAGUCUCAAAGACCCCAACGGCUAGUAGACAUCGUUUACGGCAUGGACUACCAGGGUAUCUAAUCCUGUUUGCUCCCCAUGCUUUCGUACCUCAGUGUCAGUAUUAGGCCAGAUGGCUGCCUUCGCCAUCGGUAUUCCUCCAGAUCUCUACGCAUUUCACCGCUACACCUGGAAUUCUACCAUCCUCUCCCAUACUCUAGCCAACCAGUAUCGAAUGCAAUUCCCAAGUUAAGCUCGGGGAUUUCACAUUUGACUUAAUUGGCCACCUACGCACGCUUUACGCCCAGUAAAUCCGAUUAACGCUCGCACCCUCUGUAUUACCGCGGCUGCUGGCACAGAGUUAGCCGGUGCUUAUUCUGCGAGUAACGUCCACUAUCCCUAGGUAUUAACUAGAGUAGCCUCCUCCUCGCUUAAAGUGCUUUACAACCAAAAGGCCUUCUUCACACACGCGGCAUGGCUGGAUCAGGGUUCCCCCCAUUGUCCAAUAUUCCCCACUGCUGCCUCCCGUAGGAGUCUGGGCCGUGUCUCAGUCCCAGUGUGGCGGAUCAUCCUCUCAGACCCGCUACAGAUCGUCGCCUUGGUAGGCCUUUACCCCACCAACUAGCUAAUCCGACUUAGGCUCAUCUAUUAGCGCAAGGUCACAAGUGAUCCCCUGCUUUCUCCCGUAGGACGUAUGCGGUAUUAGCAUUCCUUUCGAAAUGUUGUCCCCCACUAAUAGGCAGAUUCCUAAGUAUUACUCACCCGUCCGCCGCUAAGUUAAGUAGCAAGCUACUUUUCCCCGCUCGACUUGCAUGUGUUAAGCCUGCCGCCAGCGUUCAAUCUGAGCCAGGAUCAAACUCUAAGACUGGAGAUCUGGAUCCCUCGAGUCUAGAGUCGACCUGCAGGCAUGCAAGCUUGGCGUAAUCAUGGUCAUAGCUGUUUC
rnacentral:rRNA from 1 species